GGUUAUUAGCCACAGGCGUUUUACUCGAUAUGAUGAGAUCUAAUCCUGUACAGGUUGAAGUUGAGAUAAUGGU
rnacentral:rRNA from 1 species